GAACAGCCCAGAAGGACAAGAAUUUCCUGCUCCCAAGCUUCAGGAAGGAAAAGGGAAARGAGAUAAAGCAACUUGGCUGUAUUUUAGCCAAUCUGAUGCAUGAGACACCCUACAGCUCAGGAAGCUGGAGAACGCCAGUUGUGUGGGCAAAAACAGCUCAAGAGGAACACAAGGCCAGCAGGCAAGCUGUGCUUGGUGGACUGCUUAGUGCAUUUGGGUGUGGAAAUUAGACCUAUCAUGUGGAAAUAUUUCAGCUUUUAAAACAGCUUUGUUUUACCAAAAUUGUAUUUUCCAAGCCAGAAGGUUCUGUGUACUUCACUAGAGAGUUUCCUCAAAAGCCUCCAGGGCAAGAGAGGAGCCAAGCCGGGCUGGAGGACG